ACAGCAGUAGCCGCGGGAAUACAGAGGGUGCGAGCGUUAAUCGGAUUUACUGGGCGUAAAGCGUGCGUAGGCGGCUUCUUAAGUCGGAUGUGAAAUCCCUGAGCUUAACUUAGGAAUUGCAUUCGAUACUGGGAAGCUAGAGUAUGGGAGAGGAUGGUAGAAUUCCAGGUGUAGCGGUGAAAUGCGUAGAGAUCUGGAGGAAUACCGAUGGCGAAGGCAGCCAUCUGGCCUAAUACUGACGCUGAGGUACGAAAGCAUGGGGAGCAAACAGGAUUAGAGACCCCUGUAGUCCCUGUCUCUUAUAC
rnacentral:rRNA from 1 species